GUUUGUUCAUAAAUUAUAUUAAUAAAUUAAAUUAUAACCAAUAGUUGAACGCCAAGUAUUUUAAAAAAUAUUUAAAGAUUUUAAUUUUAAAACAAUUAAAUGAGUGAUCAAUUUUGAAUCCAAAGGUGGAUAACAAGGGUAAUUUGGAGCCAAUAAGUGGACGAAGGGUAAUUUUGUACCAUUUUCAAUACUUUAAGGGUAUUUUAGGCACAUUUCCAUUUAAUUUUGCUGUCUGUUUACUUGUUAGUAUUUGUCGUCAGUCUUUAG
rnacentral:misc_RNA from 1 species